rnacentral:lncRNA from 1 species
CUUUAAUGCUAUCAGCUUCAUAGUUCAUGGUGCAAUCUCUAUUCCCAGAAGUUGCAGUGUUGUACAUAUUUCAUACCGUAUGAGUUAGCUUUGGAAGGAGAAUCAUACUGAGGAAUUUCCCCCAGUAUUUUCAGGAUGUUUCAUCUGACUACACAAUCUUCAGCAAUGACACAAUCUUCACCUUAUGUUCCGGCAAUUAUUUCUAUUUCACUUC